ACAGUGGACGCGAGCAUCUGUGGCCAAGUUUUUAAGGGCGCACGGUGGAUGCCUUGGCACCAGGAACCGAUGAAGGACGUGGGAGGCCACGAUAGUCCCCGGGGAGUCGUCAACCAGGCUUUGAUCCGGGGGUUUCCGAAUGGGGAAACCCGGCAGUCGUCAUGGGCUGUCAC
rnacentral:rRNA from 1 species